rnacentral:rRNA from 1 species
AUGGCGAGUCUAGUAGUUCUGGCAUCGCUGCUUACCGUAAUUGGGCUCGCGCAGGGGGAGGCGCAAUGUGCGCGGUACAGCGGGCGGCCGCGGCCACAUAGCGUGACCAUCACUGAGUUUGGGGCCGUCGGCGACGGCCUGACCGUCAAUACGGUGCCCUUCCAGAACGCCAUCUUCUACCUGCGGUCCUUUGCCGACAAGGGCGGCGCACAGCUGUACGUGCCCAAGGGGCGGUGGCUCACCGGCAGCUUCAACCUCACCAGCCACCUCACCCUUUUCCUGGAGAAGGACGCUGUCAUCAUCGGCACCGAGGAUGUGACACAAUGGCCAAUUGUGGAACCUUUGCCAUCAUAUGGCCAAGGAAUUGAUCUUCCGGGUGCAAGGCAUCGCAGCUUAAUAAAUGGGCACAAUGUUACCGAUGUCAUAAUUACAGGGAACAAUGGAAUCGUAGACGGCCAGGGUUUGAUAUGGUGGAACUGGUUUCGCUCGAAUAAAUUGAAUUAUAGCCGGCCUCAUCUUGUGGAGUUUGAGUAUUCGGAAGAAAUUGUGAUUUCGAACUUGACAUUCUUAGAUUCCCCAGCAUGGGGUAUACAUCCUGUGUAUUGCAGCAAUGUAACAAUCAGUAAUGUCACAAUCGAGACUGAAUUGGAUGCUCCACUCACCAAUGGAAUUGUCCCAGAUUCAUGCUCGAAUCUGUGCAUUGAGGACAGCAUAAUUAGUGUCGGUCAUGAUGCCAUCUCAUUAAAAAGUGGGUGGGACAACUAUGGCAUUACAUUUGGAAGGCCAACCUCAGACAUUCACAUUAGUAGAGUGGAUCUGCAAGCCUCACUGGGAGCUGCUCUUGCAUUUGGCAGUGAGAUGUCUGGUGGGAUCUCGGAUGUUCAUGUUGAUCACCUUUAUAUUCAUGGUUCAUCCAAAGGUAUCUCCUUCAGGACAGCACCAGGCCGUGGUGGUUAUAUAAGGGAUGCGAUAGUAUCAAAUGUCCAGAUGGAAGAUGUCCAUGUUGCAAUCGAGUUCACCGGCGAUUGGUCAAGCCAUCCUGAUGAACAUUUUGAUUUGUCUGCACUCCCGGAGAUCAGUGGAAUCACCUUAAAAGACAUGGUUGGAAUAAACAUUUCGUUUGCAGGAGUUUUGUCGGGAAUCGAUGGCGAUCCUUUCACCAAUAUCUGCCUCUCCAAUAUCAAUUUCACCAUAGCUGAUUCAGCGCAUUCUGCCUCUUGGUCUUGCUCCAACGUUUCUGGAUACUCCGAGUCGGUAUUUCCCGAGGCUUGUUCUGACCUCCACAGUCAAUCAUCAAAUUCCUCCAUCUGCUCAUCCACCCUUAGGUACCAUGCCCUCGCGACAGCGUAA